CGGGUGCAAGUGCUGCCUUGUAGUGGCAUUAUCCUACUCUUUUUCUAAAUCUACAAGAGUGUCUUUUACGUGCAAGAGAUAUGGUUCUCUCUUAACACGGGUCAGCCAUUUAUCGUCCCCUUCCGACGGACUAUCAUCGUUUCCUCAAGACCGUACUCGCACAUGGUGUCAAGGGAGAGCUGAAAAUUCAGUCCCUGGAAUUUUCAUCUCGGUUUCCUGGCAAUCUGAUUAAUGAAUAAACUCAUCAAAGAUACCAGGAAUAAAUUUAAUAUGUGUUGGUGAAAAGCAUCAAUAUAAAAAAGAGAAAAUAGAUAUAACAAAUCAAAAUCAACGAUACUAACGAAUACAACCUUUUGCAACAGCUUGCUAAACAAUAUACACAUGAUGUAUAUAACGAAAGAUUCAAACAAAAUAAACACAUCCGUCCUAUUUCUGACCAGUCUAUAAAUCCUGAUUCCACUGUAAGUGUACCAUGUGUAACAAUAUAACUCGCAAUAUGUGGGUCGGUUAGACAUUGUGCAGAGAAGAAAUCAACAUCUUGCGUAUACGAAAUAUUAUUGACUAAAUUUGUACACGAGAUAUUAACAAAUCUAAAUUCUGUAUAAUUUGAACAUUUUAUGUGCAGUGUAUUUAUAUCGCUUAUGGAAUAAAACCUUUGAAACACUUGGACAGACACAAACAUAGGAAUAAUUACGGACAUCAAGCCUGGUGCGAAGUUUUUUAUUUUUUUAGCAGGUAAAUCCAAAAGUAGUCUUAAUAUAAGUCUGUCCAAUAUAUGCAUACCCACCAAAAUGUUCAAGCACAAUACAACAACCAGCAGCAUUGCACCCAUUAUAUUUUCUAUGGGUAAAAUGUACUCAAAUAUACCAACUGAUAUAAAAAAAAUACAUAUAAUUAAUGACCAC
rnacentral:lncRNA from 1 species